AGCCUACGCGUCUGCCCGUAAGUCAUAAGCGAAAGCUAUUGCUGGGUUGGACUUUGUGUAUUUGGGACAACUGUCAUUUGCAUUUGUUUGGUAUUUGAUAUUUGGUAUUUGAAUGUAUAUAAAUAUAAUGGCAUUAGCAAAAUUGUUUAAGAAUAAGAGCGCAGGAAAUAUAACUGCUGAUGAAAAGAUACCAAAACCAUCACCGUUGGGAUGUUUAUUGGCACAUUGGGGUGAAUUGCAGGAAAAAUGAUAAACAAACUGACCUUUUGACUUAU